rnacentral:lncRNA from 1 species
AUUAUAUUUCUGCCUCAUUCCUUGUAGGGUUUCUUCAGUGCCCGUGGUCAUCGACCCCUUGACAAGAAGAGAGAAGAGGCUCCCAGCCUGAGGCCUGCCCCACCGCCCAUCAGUGGAGGUGGCUAUCGGGCUCGUCCAGCCAAAGCAGCUGCCACUCAAAAGAAAGUAGAAAGAAAAGCCCCUGAUGCUGGAGGCUGUCUUCACGCUGACCCAGACCUGGGGGUGUUGUGUCCUACAGGAUGUCAGUUGCAAGAGGCUUUGCUACAACAGGAAAGGCCAAUCAGAAAUAGUGUUGAUGAGUUAAAUAACAAUGUGGAAGCUGUUUCCCAGACCUCCUCUUCUUCCUUUCAGUACAUGUAUUUGCUGAAAGACCUGUGGCAAAAGAGGCAGAAGCAAGUAAAAGAUAAUGAAAAUGUAGUCAAUGAGUACUCCUCAGAACUGGAAAAGCACCAAUUAUAUAUAGAUGAGACUGUGAAUAGCAAUAUCCCAACUAACCUUCGUGUGCUUCGUUCAAUCCUGGAAAACCUGAGAAGCAAAAUACAAAAGUUAGAAUCUGAUGUCUCAGCUCAAAUGGAAUAUUGUCGCACCCCAUGCACUGUCAGUUGCAAUAUUCCUGUGGUGUCUGGCAAAGGUAACUGAUUCAUAAACAUAUUUUUAGAGAGUUC